rnacentral:lncRNA from 1 species
AGUUGGUAAUGGACAGAGAAGCCUGGCGUGCUGCAGUCCAUGGGGUCGCAAAGAGUCUGACACAGCUGAGCAACUGAACUGACUGAUACAUACUUUAUUAGGUGUCUAGAAGCUGAAUACUCUUGUAUAACCAGUAUGCAGAUGAAAAAGAAAAUUAUCAGUGUGCCAGAAACCCCCCUAAUUUUACUUCUCUAUACAUCUGCCCUGUUAGCAGUAGCCACUGCCUUGACUCCUAACUAACUUUACUGUAAAAUUUUUUGGUUUGCUUGUUUCUUUAAAAUUUUUUGACUUUAUUGAUGUAUAAUUUGCAUGUAAUAAACUGCACACAUUAAAGGGACACUGUUUGAUAGGUUUUCAUACACCUGUGUAGCCAUCACUGCAGUCAAGGUAGGGAACGUUCUCAUCGUCCCCUAAUCCCUUCACAUCCCUUUGUCAGUCAUCCUGUCUUCCAUUAUCUCUGUGCAAACUGUCACUGUAGAUUAGUUUCAGUUUUUUAGAAUUUGAUGUAUGGAAUCAUAGUGUUCUCUCUCUAGUCUGGCUUAUUUUUAUACAAAAUAGUGAUUUUUUUUAUUAACAAGUCUAUACAAAAGUCUUUAACAUUUCAAAGAAUCACAUGUUCAUUCCCACAGGGUUACCACACUGGGCCACCGGUAAGUUACACUCACAGCAGGACUUGGAAGGUUAUUCCCCAGCUCUUCAACGGGUUGACUUGGGACCAGGCAGCCACCUUUCCCACAGCUGUGUUCCAAAUAAUGAUUCAGAGAAUGAUUAUAGAUCAGUAUAAUAGAAUAGCGAUUUUUAGAUCAUUCUAUAUUGUUGCUUGGAUUAGUUUCUUUCUUUCUUUUUUUUAACUACUCAAUGGUAUUACAUUAUGUUAUAUACUGCAUUUAGUUUAUCCAUUCACCUGUUGAUAGCACUAUUUGGGUUGCUUUCAUUUACCAAUACAUUUCAUUUUCUAAUAAAACCACUAUGAUAUUUUGUACAAAUGGAGAGAGAUACAUGCACACAUACACCUUUAUAACUAUGUUUUUAUUUCUCUUGGAUAAAUACUAUGAAGACAUGCUGGGUUAUAUAGGGUGCAUGUAUUUUUAAUUUUUUAAUAAACUAGCAAACUUUUCCAAACCUGUAUAAUUUUAUGUAUGCAACAGCAUGAUAUGACAAUUUUAAUUUCUCCACAUCCUAGCACUUGGUAUUAUUGUCAGUCACUUUCAUUCUAGUUACUGGAGUCGAUACAUAGUAGCAUCUCAUUGUGGUUUAAAUUUGUAUUUCCCUGAUUACAGUUGCACUCAUCUCACAUGCUAGUAAAGUAAUGCUCAAAAUUCUCC